rnacentral:rRNA from 1 species
GUUGAUCCUGCCGGACCUGACUGCUAUCGGAUUGAUACUAAGCCAUGCGAGUCAUUGUAGCAAUACAAGGCAUACGGCUCAGUAACGCGUAGUCAACCUAACCUAUGGACGGGAAUAACCUCGGGAAACUGAGAAUAAUGCCCGAUAGAACAUUAUGCCUGGAAUGGUUUAUGUUCCAAAUGAUUUAUCGCCGUAGGAUGGGACUGCGGCCUAUCAGUUUGUUGGUGAGGUAAUGGCCCACCAAGACUAUUACAGGUACGGGCUCUGAGAGGAGUAGCCCGGAGAUGGGUACUGAGACACGAAUCCAGACCCUACGGGGUGCAGCAGGCGCGAAAACUUGGCAAUGCGAGAAAUCGUGACCAGGGAACUCCAAGUGCAUCGGGUAAGACCGGUGCUUUUCUUGACUCUAAAUAGGUCUUGGAAUAAGGGGUGGGUAAGGACGGUGCCAGCCGCCGCGGUAAUACCGGCGCCUCAAGUGGUAGUCGCUUUUAUUGGGCCUAAAACGUCCGUAGCCGGUCUGAUACAUUCGUGGGUAAAUCAACCAGCUUAACUGGUUGAAUUCUGCGAGGACGGUCAGACUUGGGACCGGGAGAGGUGUGGGGUACGCUCAGGGUAGGGGUAAAAUCCUGUCAUCCUGAGCGGACCACCUGUUGCGAAGGCGCCACACUAGAACGGAUCCGACGGUCAGGGACGAAGCCUAGGGGCACGAACCGGAUUAGAUACCCGGGUAGUCCUAGGUGUAAACGCUGUGGACUUGAUGUUGGGGGUGCUCCGAGCACUCUCAGUGUCGAAGCGAAGGUGAUAAGUCCACUGCCUGGGAAGUACGGUCGCAAGGCUGAAACUUAAAGGAAUUGGCGGGGGAGCACCGCAACCUGAGGAUUGUGCGGUUUAAUUGGAUUCAACGCCGGAAAACUCACCAUAGCCGACGGACAAAUGAAGGUCAGUGUAAUGAACUUACCGGAUUGUUCGAGAGGUAGUGCAUGGCCGCCGUCAGUUCGUACCGCAAGGCGUUCUGUUAAGUCAGAUAACGAACGAGACCCUCAUCUCUAUUUGCUAACUGGAUCUCCGGAUCCAGUGCACUAUAGGGAGACCGCUGGCGCUAAGUCAGAGGAAGGGGAGGGCAACGGUAGGUCAGUAUGCUCCGAAUGCUAUGGGCUACACGCGCAAUACAAAGGACAGGACAAUGGGCUGCUGCUCCGAAAGGAAUGAUAGCUAUCCCGAAACCUGUUCGUAGUUCGGAUUGAGGGCUGUAACUCGCCCUCAUGAAGCUGGAUUAGGUAGUAAUCGCGUCUCAAAAAGGCGCGGUGAAUAUGCCCCUGCUCCUUGCACACACCGC